ACACACUCGGCCUUUCUCCGGCACAGCUCUGAGCUCCUCUCUUAAGCCUCCGUGCUCGCUUCGUUCCCCUCACAUUCCUCGCCGUUCUCGCGUUUAAGGUUCUUGUUUCCACUUCUGCAACUCCCAAACGGUUUGGAGAGAGCAGAGACUAAUCUCUUUCGAUCAGUUUCUUGGAGACUCUUUAACAUUUGAUGGUAUUUCAAGAAAUCUCGGAGGCCGAAGAAGAAUUACAGAGUAAAAUCAUGGCCACUGCACCUGUGAAAUCUCAGCCUCUGCAUAAUUUUUCGCUGCCGUUUUUGAAAUGGGGGAAGAAUCAGAUGAACAAUCACCGCUGCCGUAAACUCGUCGAUUCUCCGUCGCCCGACCACCGAUCUUCGCCCUCCGAAGUAGAAUCUGAAGAUGCUUCUUCUUGUAUCUACAAAAAAGAUUCCGAGGCCGAGAGUCGAAAGUAUGAAAUUGGAUCACGUAGUUCUAAGAAUCGUUUCGGUUUCUUCUCUUGUUCUUCUGAUUCCUUAACGCCGGAGAAGUCAUUGAAGAAUCCGACGGCGUCCGAAGCCGACGCUGCCGGACUCGAGGAGUCUAAGACAAAGCUCCUCAUCCGUUUCCGCAAGAGUAGUAAAGAAGAGUCAGUAUCGAAGAAUAAAGUUGCUGCUGUUCCCGCUGAAGGUGGAGAAGUAGAGGAAUCGGCACCGAAGCCGUGGAAUCUGAGACCGAGGAGAGCUGUCUACAAGGCUCCUGUUGAUAACGGAGGGGCUUCAAAGAAUGGAGAUUCGCUAGAUGACCUUCCUCCGAUGCAGCAGCCGGAGAAUCUACCAAAAUCUCUUCGGUUAAGAGGUUUUGCUGAAGCUCAGAAUGUAGAGAAGAAGGAGAAGCGACAGUUCUCGAUCUCGCUUUCUCGCGAGGAGAUUGAAGAGGAUAUCUUCUCGUUGACUGGAUCCAAGCCAUCUCGGAGGCCGAAGAAGAGAGCAAGGAACAUACAGAAACAAUUGGAUAACGCUUUCCCCGGUUUGUGGUUGGCUGGGAUUACUGCUGAUUCGUAUAGAGUUUCUGACGCUGCUCCCAAGAGGUAGAUUAGAUCACUAGAGACGAAAGAGUUUCAUUUUUGGAGUCUCCAGAAGUUGGAGUCUGAUGACCUCUUCCUUGAGACCUCUAGUGGAGGCAUCCCUACUUUGUUUGGGGCAAGAAUAGCAAGUCUAUGAUUAGUUUGCAGACCAUAAAUCAUUUCGGGAAUUAGAUUGUGGGGGCACUGUUGCCGCCUUUCUCUGCAAGAACACUUGCACCUGACUCAUCUUCACAGGCAUCAAGGGGAACACCUGAUGAGGUUCAAAGUAUUUAUACAUUAGAAACAUGUUUCAUUUACCCCUUACUCUUAUUGUCAAUCAAAUGAUAAGAAUGUGGCGCAUUUUCUUCGUUAUGUGAUCUCAGUGGCUGAAAAGGGAAAAGCAUUCUCAU